GAGUCCCGCGGACGCCUUCAUUGCUGCUGCUGCUGCCGCCGCGGCCGCCGCUGCCUCUUCCUUCCUCCUGCGCCGUCCCCUCCUCGGCCCGGGCGGGGGGCUCCGCGCGCUGAGCUCGGUCGGGCCGGGCGCUCCGGGAGGCGGGAGCCCCAGGCGGCGGCGGCGGCGGCCGCGACGGUGGUGGCGGCGGCGGCGCGGGCCGGGAAACUUUGCCCCUUUGUGCGCUCCGCCCCGGAGGCGGCGGGCAGGCAGCACUGCCUUCUCCAGCGUCCAGACCCUGGAGGAAAAAUACCAGGAGAAACUGCUCACUCAGCUCUGCCCCCACCACACCCCUACCUGCUCAACUCAUGCCUGGGUCCAGGGUGGGUGAGGGUGAAGAACCCACCGGGCCAAGAUGAUCCCUUUUCUGAGGGCUGCUGCUGGUGUCCUCCCCCAGAUCCUGGGCCCCAGCAGGUGGGAGAGUGGCCCCCUACGGAGUCCGAUCAGACUGCUGCAGAGGAGGUGAAGAGGGGUUGAGAAGAGGCAUCCAUCCACGAGACUGAAGCCACUUGCCUUCACCCUUGUAGACUCUUGACUGUUCUAGGCGAGAAGGACCUGUUGGUGGCCUUUGGA
rnacentral:lncRNA from 10 species